rnacentral:rRNA from 1 species
CUGUACAAUGGAUUUCUCGGCUCCCACAUCGAUGAAGAACGCAGCAAAGCGCGAUAGGUAGUGUGAAUUGCAGAAUACCGUGAAUCAUCGAAUUUUUGAACGCAUAUUGCGCCCGGGUUUGAGCCUGGGCAUGUCUGCCUCAGCGUCGAUUUCCUCA